rnacentral:rRNA from 1 species
ACGGCUCAGUAACACGUAGUCAACAUGCCCAGGGGACGUGGAUAACCUCGGGAAACUGAGGAUAAACCGCGAUAAGUCAUUACUUCUGGAAUGGGUAAUGAUUAAAAUCUACAUGGCCCCUGGAUUGGACUGCGGCCGAUCAGGCUGUUGGUGAGGUAAUGGCCCACCAAACCUGUAACCGGUACGGGCUCUGAGAGGAGGAGCCCGGAGAUGGGCACUGAGACAAGGGCCCAGGCCCUAUGGGGCGCAGCAGGCGCGAAACCUCUGCAAUAGGCGAAAGCCUGACAGGGUUACUCUGAGUGAUUUCCGUUAAGGAGAUCUUUUGGCACCUCUAAAAAUGGUGCAGAAUAAGGGGUGGGCAAGUCUGGUGUCAGCCGCCGCGGUAAUACCAGCACCCCGAGUGGUCGGGACGUUUAUUGGGCCUAAAGCAUCCGUAGCCGGUUCUACAAGUCUUCCGUUAAAUCCACCUGCUUAACAGAUGGGCUGCGGAAGAUACUAUAGAGCUAGGAGGCGGGAGAGGCAAGCGGUACUCGAUGGGUAGGGGUAAAAUCCGUUGAUCCAUUGAAGACCACCAGUGGCGAAGGCGGCUUGCCAGAACGCGCUCGACGGUGAGGGAUGAAAGCUGGGGGAGCAGACCGGAUUAGAUACCCGGGUAGUCCCAGCUGUAAACGAUGCAGACUCGGUGAUGAGUUGGCUUCUUGCCAACUCAGUGCCGCAGGGAAGCCGUUAAGUUUGCCGCCUGGGGAGUACGGUCGCAAGACUGAAACUUAAAGGAAUUGGCGGGGGAGCAC